rnacentral:rRNA from 1 species
GACGAACGCUGGCGGCGUGCUUAACACAUGCAAGUCGAACGAAGAGCGAUGGAAGCUUGCUUCUAUCAAUCUUAGUGGCGAACGGGUGAGUAACGCGUAAUCAACCUGCCCUUCAGAGGGGGACAACAGUUGGAAACGACUGCUAAUACCGCAUACGAUCUAAUCUCGGCAUCGAGGAUAGAUGAAAGGUGGCCUCUACAUGUAAGCUAUCACUGAAGGAGGGGAUUGCGUCUGAUUAGCUAGUUGGAGGGGUAACGGCCCACCAAGGCGAUGAUCAGUAGCCGGUCUGAGAGGAUGAACGAUCACAUUGGGACUGAGACACGGCCCAGACUCCUACGGGAGGCAGCAGUGGGGAAUCUUCCGCAAUGGACGAAAGUCUGACGGAGCAACGCCGCGUGAGUGAUGACGGCCUUCGGGUUGUAAAGCUCUGUUAAUCGGGACGAAAGGCCUUCUUGCGAAUAGUGAGAAGGAUUGACGGUACCGGAAUAGAAAGCCACGGCUAACUACGU